AAUAAACAUGUCGCUCUGUAUAGUAAUAACGAGUAUCUAUACACUGAUAAUAAACAUGUCGCACUGUAUAAUAAUACUGAGUAUCUAUACGCUGAUAAUAAACAUGUCGCUCUGUAUAAUAAUACUGAGUAUCUAUACGCUGAUAAUAAACAUGUCGCUCUGUAUAAUAAUAACGAGUACCUGUUAUGUUUGAUGAUAGCUGGCUGUUGUGCAGAUAAUUCCCCCCAGCACUUUGUAUACAGACAGAUACUCAGCACUCUCUUAUAGCUGAUCAGCAUGGAGGAGUAUUAGAUUAGGGACACACUUAGUCCUGUCCUGGAGAGGAAACAAAGAAGAAAAAGGAACCUUAAGUUACAAAAAGUUAGGAAAGUUACAACUUCCGGAAUGUAUAGAGGGAUGGGAGGGGGUCUUGAAACUAACCCAGCAGGAAGUGAAGAUCACAAACCAGACAUUCUUUUAUUACACAGACUGCCAUACAAUACACAGAGCUGGGUACAAUACAGAGCCUGCCAUACAAUAAACAGAGCUGGGUACAAUACAGAGACUGCCAUACAAUACACAGAGCUGGGUACAAUACAGAGACUGCCAUACAAACACAGAGCUGGAUACAAUACAGAGACUGUCAUACAAUACACAGAGCUGGGUACAAUACACAGACUGCCAUACAAUACGCAGAGCUGGGUACAAUACAGAGCCUGCCAUACAAUACACAGAGCUGGAUACAAUACAGAGACUGUCAUACAAUACACAGAGCUGGGUACAAUACAGAGACUGCCAUACAAUACACAGAGCUGGGUACAAUACAGAGACUGCCAUACAAUACACAGAGAUGGAUACAAUACAGAGACUGCCAUACAAUACACAGAGCUGGGUACAAUACACAGACUGCCAUACAAUACACAGAGCUGGGUACAAUACAGAGCCUGCCAUACAAUACACAGAGCUGGUACAAUACAGAGCCUGCCAUACAAUACACAGAGCUGGAUACAAUACAGAGCCUGCCAUACAAUACACAGAGCUGGGUACAAUACAGAGACUGUCAUACAAUACACAGAGCUGGGUGUCACGAACGCACACUACUCCAAGAGUGCGCGUGACUUAGUUGUGGUUGUGAAAGGGUUAACGUUCACUAUUUGUCUGCACUAGACCGGAAAUAAUGACAAAAUCCCCCUUUAACACCACCCACACUUAAACAUAAUAUAACAAUUUAACGCUGCCACCACCAAGACAAUUUAUAAAUGGGGUGCCUUGGUCCCCCAGGUAAAUCAAUAAUAAAACCCACCAAAUAUUACUUAGCACAAUAUUUAAAGAAUUAUAAAAAAUACUAACUAGUCUCUUCAGGUAACGUGAUUCUUAACCAGACAAAGGCAGAACUUAAUAAAUGAAUGUUUAUUAUGAGCAAAAGAUAGUCACA